rnacentral:rRNA from 1 species
UACGUAGGGAGCAAGCGUUGUCCGGAAUCAUUGGGCGUAAAGCGCGCGUAGGUGGCCUCAUAAGUCCGCUGUGAAAGUCAAAGGCUCAACCUUUGAAAGCCGGCGGAUACUGUGAGGCUAGAGUACGGAAGAGGCGAGUGGAAUUCCUGGUGUAGCGGUGGAAUGCGCAGAUAUCAGGAGGAACACCAAUAGCGAAGGCAGCUCGCUGGGACGUUACUGACACUGAGGCGCGAAAGCGUGGGGAGCGAACAGG